CCCCCCCGGCGGCCUGGCUCCGAGGUGGCCCCAGGAGCGGGAGACGCGGGCUCGGAGCCCCCCGGGCUGCCGGGAGAAGUGUCCCGUGAGGGAGCCGGUGCGCGGCAGGCGGGGGGCUGGCGGGAGCCUCUGAGGGAACCUCGGGCACCUCCCGGCCGCUGCCCCGGUGGCAGAGGGGCUCCCGCCGGGCCGGGGGCUGAGCCGCGGUCGCUGCGUGUGUCCCCAGCGGCAGCGGUGAAAUGACCCAGGUGCUGUUUGUGAAGAUUUUUACAUUUGCACAGAGAAAAGAUUUGGAGAGAUGGGCUAAUGGCUGUACCCGGUGCUCAUCAUCUGCUACAUGAAGUGCUAGAGAGCAGACUACUCAGAAAAAAAUGGACCUUGUUCAACUCGGAUUAUUUAUUACAACUUUAGACUUCCUAAAAUGAACACUAUCCCAAGAAGUGAUUUCAUUAAGCACACUGUCAAUUAUCAGAAUUCUCUGUAUCAAGUAUUCAUUUUACAGAAGAAUAGCUAUCUAUUUUUGUACACCAUGAAUCUGUUCAUCAACCAAAAUGGAGUGCUUCAGCAUUUCGAUCACACUCCUGAUUUUUAAAGUCAUCUUUUUCUGUAUUGUCUUAUUGUCCUGCAGCCAUAUUUAGGCUAUGCAUGUCAGUGUGAGACACAAUGCAGUCGGUACAAGCCAUCUGAUAAACGGCUGCUUACGCAGCAGUUUCUUCCAGCACACUUCUGGUGGCAUGUUGUAUUGAUUGGAAGGCUCUGAUACGGUAUAUCAAGAAUCCAUUUAUAUGUUGCAUGCCCUCCACAAUCAAAUCGUGUGUGUGUUAGAGGAUGCAGCGUGUGACUCUUAUUUUGAAAUGCUCAGUGUGCAUGCAGUGGCCGACCCAAGAUUUUACAAUAAAUAAAAUCAUAUUCUAGCCCAAAGUGUGGCACCAAAAAAAAAAAAAA